GCCAAUGUGGUGUACUGGUUUGAGCACUGGACUACAACUCUGGAGACCAGGGUUCAAAUCCUUGCUUGCCC
rnacentral:tRNA from 1 species